UAUUAAAAAUUCCAUCCAUUUGUACCGAUAAAAAUUGGCAUGGUUAACAAAAUAACUAGACAUAGUGACACAUGGCAUGCCUCGUAUACUUUAUUCUGAUGUAGAUGAAUUGGUUUUUAAUAAUAGAAAUGAAUGAAAUUUUUAACA
rfam:Gossypium arboreum cultivar AKA8401 contig_4170_1, whole genome shotgun sequence.